CAUCCCACCCCAGCACUUUCUAGGAAGAAGGGCAGCAUUUUGAAGGGCUGGAAGUAGAGGAAGGAGGUUGCGGGUAGAAGACUCCAUACUUUCUGUGACGCCUAUUCCUUAGAAAUUCUCGGAGCCACCCAUCAGUGCCUGAGCUUCAGUGAGUCCAUAUCCCAUGUCACCCACGGCAAAGGAGACUCUAAGACUUCUGAAGAGUUUCUUGCUUCUUUCCUGUGGGGCAGUGACUCCACUUCCCAGCAGUAAUGGAAUAUCCUGAAUUAGCUACAUUAAUGUUAGAACCAUUUGGACCUCACCCAGGACUUCAACUACAUUAUGCUAAAGUUACAGAACCCAAAUUUGGCAACUGUCUGCAUCUGAACAACAGAAGUUUCAACAUUCUGCCAACAGAGUAACUCCUGGACGAUUGGCACAGAAGAAGGCACAAGGCAAAUACCCAUCUCUGUACACCCUGUGCUACUGUGUCAUGUGCUGCUCCAGGCAACUCCAAUGGAUUGGCCACCCUGGCCAAUGUGUUCUAGUAUGUUACGUUUAUGUUCCCCUGCUUUCUACAAUCCUGUUCAAAGAGUUGCUGACUUAACCACAGAGAGGAUUCCAGAACCUGAGACACAGAAUAAACUUGAGCAAUCAUAGUCCAUCCACUUCAUUGUCUCAUCAAAAACCAAAGGUCCAGUGAAGCUCUGGAACUCAACGCUGUAAAGGAGCGAAGGAGCUUCUAUACAGAGCCUGGAUGCCUGUCUCCUUAUCCUAC
ensembl:lncRNA STARD13-AS STARD13 antisense RNA